UUGUGUUUCCAGAGUAAAGAUGCGAGGAACUCGUCGAUCAGCUCGAUUGACUGGAGUCCCACCAGAGAAUGAACCAGCUGCUCGUCCUCCUGCAUUGCCAAGGGCAAGGUCUCAGAGAUCUAGCAGGGAAGGUACGUCAAUAGACCCGAGAAGGUCUGUCGACGAGAGCAGAAGAGGAACAGCUAGGGGAGGAAGAUCAGAGGAAAGGAGGGAAGCUAUGGAGAUUGAUCAGUC
rnacentral:lncRNA from 1 species